rnacentral:rRNA from 1 species
AGUGAACGCUGGCGGUAGGCCUAACACAUGCAAGUCGAACGGCAGCACAGAGGAGCUUGCUCCUUGGGUGGCGAGUGGCGGACGGGUGAGGAAUACAUCGGAAUCUACUCUGUCGUGGGGGAUAACGUAGGGAAACUUACGCUAAUACCGCAUACGACCUACGGGUGAAAGCAGGGGAUCUUCGGGCCUUGCGCGAUUGAAUGAGCCGAUGUCGGAUUAGCUAGUUGGCGGGGUAAAGGCCCACCAAGGCGACGAUCCGUAGCUGGUCUGAGAGGAUGAUCAGCCACACUGGAACUGAGACAUGGUCCAGACUCCUACGGGAGGCAGCAGUGGGGAAUAUUGGACAAUGGGCGCAAGCCUGAUCCAGCCAUACCGCGUGGGUGAAGAAGGCCUUCGGGUUGUAAAGCCCUUUUGUUGGGAAAGAAAUCCAUCUGGUUAAUACCCGGGUGGGAUGACGGUACCCAAAGAAUAAGCACCGGCUAACUUCGUGCCAGCAGCCGCGGUAA